UACGUAUGGUGCAAGCGUUAUCCGGAUUUACUGGGUGUAAAGGGAGCGCAGGCGGCGCGUUAAGCCUGGUGUGAAAGCCCGCGGCCCAACCGCGGGACUGCAUUGGGAACUGGCGCGCUGGAGUGCCGGAGGGGUAGGCGGAAUUCCUAGUGUAGCGGUGAAAUGCGUAGAUAUUAGGAGGAACACCAGUGGCGAAGGCGGCCCACUGGACGGUGACUGACGCUGAGGCUCGAAAGCGUGGGGAGCAAACAGG
rnacentral:rRNA from 1 species